UUUUAUUUUUUGUUUUAUUUUUUUAAUUUAAUUAAUUUUAGAUCGCGUUGUAUUUAAAGG
rnacentral:ribozyme from 13 species